UGGUUGAUCCUGCCAGAGGUUACUGCUAUCGAGGUUCGACUAAGCCAUGCGAGUCGAAUGUAGCAAUACGUGGCGAACUGCUCAGUAACACGUGGAUAACCUACCCUUGAGACGGGGAUAAACCCGGGAAACUGGGUAUAAUACCCGAUAGAUCUCGACUGCUGGAAUGCAUCGAGCUUUAAAGCUCCGGCGCUCAAGGAUGGAUCUGCGGCCUAUCAGGUAGUAGUGGGUGUAGCGUACCUACUAGCCUACGACGGGUACGGGUUGUGAGAGCAAGAGCCCGGAGAUGGAUUCUGAGACACGAAUCCAGGCCCUACGGGGUGCGGCAGGCGCGAAAACUUUACAAUGCUGGCAACAGCGAUAAGGGGACCUCGAGUGCCAGGUUACAAAUCUGGCUGUCGUGAUGCCUAAAAAGCAUUGCAUAGCAAGGGCCGGGCAAGACCGGUGCCAGCCGCCGCGGUAACACCGGCGGCUCGAGUGGUAGCCGUUAUUAUUGGGUCUAAAGGGUCUGUAGCCGGCCGGAUAAGUCUCUUGGGAAAUCUGGCAGCUUAACUGUCAGGCUUUCAGGAGAUACUGUCUGGCUCGAGGCCGGGAGAGGUGAGAGGUACUUCAGGGGUAGGGGUGAAAUCUUGUAAUCCUUGAAGGACCACCAGUGGCGAAGGCGUCUCACCAGAACGGACCUGACGGCAAGGGACGAAAGCUAGGGGCACGAACCGGAUUAGAUACCCGGGUAGUCCUAGCCGUAAACGAUACUCGCUAGGUGUCGGCCACGGUGCGACCGUGGUCGGUGCCGUAGGGAAGCCGUGAAGCGAGCCACCUGGGAAGUACGGCCGCAAGGCUGAAACUUAAAGGAAUUGGCGGGG
rnacentral:rRNA from 1 species